rnacentral:rRNA from 1 species
AUUGAACGCUGGCGGCAGGCUUAACACAUGCAAGUCGAGCGGGCGAGGUUGCUUCGGUAACUUAGCUAGCGGCGGACGGGUGAGUAAUGCUUAGGAAUCUGCCUAUUAGUGGGGGACAACAUUCCGAAAGGGAUGCUAAUACCGCAUACGUCCUACGGGAGAAAGCAGGGGCUCUUUAUGACCUUGCGCUAAUAAAUGAGCCUAAGUCGGUUUAGCUAGUUGGUGGGGUAAAGGCAAACCAAGGCGACGAUCUGUAGCGGGUCUGAGAGGAUGAUCCGCCACACUGGGACUGAGACACGGCCCAGACUCCUACGGGAGGCAGCAGUGGGGAAUAUUGGACAAUGGGGGGAACCCUGAUCCAGCCAUGCCGCGUGUGUGAAGAAGGCCUUUUGGUUGUAAAGCACUUUAAGUGGGGAGGAGGCUUACCUAGUUAAUACCUGGGCUAAGUGGACGUUACCCACAGAAUAAGCACCGGCUAACUCUGUGCCAGCCGCCGCGGUAAUAC